UACUCCAUCCUCUCUGAGUAG
rnacentral:piRNA from 1 species